ACAGGGGUGCGUACAAAUGGACCAGGACGCGGAGAGCACGGAAACAACGGUGCUGGGACCUUGUGCACAGAAUCCAGAUGCCAGAUGGGAAUUAAACAUUCGGCCGAGAAAAGCAAUCUAGUUCCCUGGGCUCGACUUUGACUCACUCCUUGGUCUGCACCAAUCCUCACAUCCCUCAGGUCCUCUAACUUUUACGACAGUAUCCAGAAAUCGAUUCUUUGGUCUCUACGGCUCCAGAAGGCUCGCUCAUCAAGAGUCUAUUGAGGAGGAAUCUCUGAAAAUGACAGCUGAUGGGUGUAGAGACCCACGCCCGGAAUCUCAGCAACUGAAGUGGUUGAAGCAGGAGCAUCUGGGCAGAGCUUGAACCAGGAAGCUGAGCGGCACCAUAGGUGUUGCUAACCAAGCAUAGCAGCAUAAUAAAAAUGGAGUGAUUAAAUGUA
rnacentral:lncRNA from 1 species